CAAGCGACUGUUUACCAAAAACAUAGGUUUCUGCUAAGUCGCAAGACGAUGUAUAGGAGCUGACGCCUGCCCGGUGCUGGAAGGUUAAGGGGAUCUGUUAGAGCAAUCGAAGCAGUGAACUUAAGCCCCAGUAAACGGCGGCCGUAACUAUAACGGUCCUAAGGUAGCGAAAUUCCUUGUCGGGUAAGUUCCGACCCGCACGAAAGGCGUAACGAUUUGGGCACUGUCUCAACAACAGACUCGGUGAAAUUGUAAUUCCGGUGAAGAUGCCGGAUACCUGCGACAGGACGGAAAGACCCCAUGGAGCUUUACUGUAGCUUGACAUUGGGUCUUGGUACUACAUGUACAGGAUAGGUGGGAGGCUUUGAAACCAGGACGCCAGUUUUGGCGGAGCCAUCCUUGGGAUACCACCCUUGUAGUACUGGGACUCUAACCAUAGGCCAUGAAUCUGGUCUUGGGACACUGUCAGGUGGGCAGUUUGACUGGGGCGGUCGCCUCCCAAAAGGUAACGGAGGCGCUCAAAGGUUCUCUCAGUACGGUCGGAAAUCGUACGUAGAGUGUAAAGGCAAAAGAGAGCUUGAUUGCAAGACAUACAGGUCGAGCAAGGAUGAAAAUCGGACUUAGUGAUCCGGUGGUUCUGCGUGGAAGGGCCAUCGCUCAACGGAUAAAAGCUACCCUGGGGAUAACAGGCUUAUCUCCCCCAAGAGUCCACAUCGACGGGGAGGUUUGGCACCUCGAUGUCGGCUCAUCACAUCCUGGGGCUGUAGUAGGUCCCAAGGGUUGGGCUGUUCGCCCAUUAAAGUGGUACGCGAGCUGGGUUCAGAACGUCGUGAGACAGUUCGGUCCCUAUCCGUCGCAGGCGUAGGAAAUUUGAGAAGACCUGUCCUUAGUACGAGAGGACCGGGAUGGACG
rnacentral:rRNA from 1 species